UGUAGAGGACGUUAAACCGAGCGCGUGCAUAUGUGGUACGUAUAAAUUGGAGUUUGUAUGCCAAAGUUAUGAGUAUUUUUGUGUGAGGGGUAUUUUGGUCAUUUCAUCACACCUUAAUUAUAAGGGGCUGAUCAGCCCCAUUUCCAGCCAUUCUCCCCAUCCUUCACGACAGAAACCAGAAAGAAAAAAGAGAGAGAGAAAGAGAGAGAGAAAGAAAGAAAGAAAGAGAUCUUCCGGUGCGGAUUCCGGCAAUUUCCGGCAGCAAAAAUGUUGAAAGAAGUGUUAAGGAUGUUGAGAUGAAGCCGCUGUCAAAAUUUGGUGACCAUCGGAGGAGUUGGCCGACGAGUGAACAGUGCCGCCGAGUGAACAGUGCGGGUGACGUAUCAAAUUACUACUGGGUGAAGGAGCUCUUAUGCGUGGUUGCCUAAAUAGUACUUUUGCAGGCUAGAUUAGUUGAGGUCGGGCGUACAUGGAGUCGAGGCAUAGCCAACAGCAUUGCUUCCGCGUACUCAUUCUAUUUCUGUUUUAUGUGAUACCUAAUAGAUUAAUAUUGCUCUGAUAAGCUGUGGGAUUAAUAUUGUUUUUGGGUUGAGACUGUUAUUUGAGAAAUUGAAGUUGUGAUUUGGGGAGCAGGUGGCUCCAGGAGUAUAAGGUUGGUUUGUUUGAA